AUAUGAUUUUAACAUUGUUUUGUCAAAGACUUUAUGUAGAAAAUGUAGCCUUCGAAGCAUGAGCAUCCCAAGGCAGGAUGCAGAAAAUGUAGAGCCAGAUGAAGGAAAAUUACAAGGCCCUACAGAGAUGGAUGAUUCAUUACCAAAAAUCCUCCUGAAUCUACUAGUCAAAUUAAAAUGAUUUUGAAUCGCAGAAUGCUCAUGCUGAAACUAGCAAUGCAACCAAGCAAAGUAGCCCUGAACAAAGUGUGCAGCUUUACGAAGUCACUAAGCAGGU